rnacentral:lncRNA from 1 species
UGUGAUAUGGGUCUUUUCUCAUCGACGCCUCUUUUUCCUUCCCUCUCUUAGGCAAACCUUUUAGAGAAGUCAGCUGAGCAAAUAUGUACAGGUGAAUUCAAAGCAAAAGCCUCACAAAGUUGAUUUGCCUUAGAGCAAAGGACAGUUCCUUUCUUCAAUUCUAAUUAGAGGUGUUGGGUUUUUAAUUAAAUAUAUUACUGCUGUACUUAGAGGAGUUCUUAAACCUCCAAGUAAAAUCAAAAACCUCUUUAAAAUCAAAAUUUCUGUCUUGAUUUAUUUAUUUAUUAUUUUUUUUUUGAGAUGGAGUUUUGCUCUUGUUGUCCAGGCUGGAGUGCAAUGGCACGAUCUCCGCUCACCGCAACCUCCGCCUCCCAGGUUCAAAUGAUUCUCCUGCCUCAGCCUCCUGAGUAGCUGGGAAUACAGGCAUGCGCCACCACACCCAGAUAAUUUUGUAUUUUUAGUAGAGAUGGGGUUUCUCCGUGUUGGUCAGGCUGGUCUUGAACUCCCGACCUCAGGUGAUCUGCCCACCUCUGCCUCCCAGAGUGCCAGGAUUACAGGCGUGAGCCAUCGCACCCAGCCUCUGUCUUGAUUUUUUUGAAUCACCAGGUGUUGGUAUGUUUUGUUUUGUUUUGUUUUGAGGCACAGUCUCACUCUUUUGCCCAGGCUAGAGUGCAGUGGGGCAAUCUCGGCUCACUGCAACCUCAGCCUCCCGAGUAGCUGGGAUUACAGGUGCCCGCCACCAUGCCCGGCUAAUUUUUCUAUUUUUGGUAGAGACGGGGUUUUGCCGUGUUGGUCAGGCUGGUCUUGAAGUCCUGACCUCAGUGAUCCACUCGCCUCAGCCGAAGUGCUGCGAUUACAGACCUGAGCCACUGCGCCCAGCCUUGAUCUUGAGCCACUUUCAACCCAGAGAAAGCCCGAGUCCCAAAGCAACAGGAAGAUGUGCGGGGGACCGCGAGUGUGGGGACAUCCUGCCGCCUCGGGCAACUCUGUCGUCCCCCACAGGGUUCAGGUGCUCAGAAAACAGCAGCCACUGAGUUCACUGUUUCCGCAGGCCCCGUAUUCCCGGCCGUGCUCAGCUGGGCUUGUGGAGUCGCGAGCGGGGGCGCUCCUGCGGCACCGCCCCUCCUGGGCAGCCCGGCUUCCAGGAGAGACUCGGCCUCAGUCUCCGAAUGGCAGGGGUCUGGGAGAGGAUGUGAUGGCAAAGGCCUGCCCCUCUCAGGCCGCCUCUAGCAAGUUCUCUACCUUGAGAGAAGCGAGUAGGAGGAGGAAGGAGGCCAGGCUGAGCCAUCUCUGAGGAAUGUGGCUUUGGCAGGACAUCCAGUGCUGCCCCGCUCCUCCCUCAGCCCCGCCCAGGGCCCUGGAGCCGGGCCGGGCUCCUCCUCCUCCAGGGGAAGGGCUCGGGGCAGGAAUCCCUUCCCUUUCCCCACCCCAGAAGAAGCCCCAGAGCGUAGGGAUAUGCGUACGGCAGAAAGGGAGACAGAAGGCAGGGCUAGAGAAAGGGAACAGGAAAAAAGAGCUUCGACAAGCCAACUGCCCUUCGCUCAGGCCCCAGCGGAAAGGCGCAGAUACCCGGAGACUUCCCAGAGAGACUCGACCCACCAAAAAGCGCACCGCGGCCGCGCAGCCCUUCCUUCAGCUCUGGAACCCAGCGCCCCACACCUCAAAUGGGAGAACUGGUGACCUCUAGUGGCCCAUGACCAGCCUGCAGGGCCUGGGGCUGGCGGGGAUUCUCUGACCCAAACUCUCCUGGGCUCUAAUGCUGUUCCCCUGCCCACCCUACCUUCUGCCUUCACACUGCUGAGGGGUCCAUAGCCGACAAGGAAGAGCUCA